GAUGAACGCUGGCGGCGUGCCUAAUACAUGCAAGUCGAGCGAACAGAUGAGAAGCUUGCUUCUCUGAUGUUAGCGGCGGACGGGUGAGUAACACGUGGGUAACCUACCUAUAAGACUGGGAUAACUCCGGGAAACCGGGGCUAAUACCGGAUAAUAUUUUGAACCGCUUGGUUCGAUAGUGAAAGACGGUUUCGGCUGUCACUUAUAGAUGGACCCGCGCCGUAUUAGCUAGUUGGUAAGGUAACGGCUUACCAAGGCGACGAUACGUAGCCGACCUGAGAGGGUGAUCGGCCACACUGGAACUGAGACACGGUCCAGACUCCUACGGGAGGCAGCAGUAGGGAAUCUUCCGCAAUGGGCGAAAGCCUGACGGAGCAACGCCGCGUGAGUGAUGAAGGUCUUCGGAUCGUAAAACUCUGUUGUUAGGGAAGAACAAAUUUGUUAGUAACUGAACAAGUCUUGACGGUACCUAACCAGAAAGCCACGGCUAACUACGUGCCAGCAGCCGCCGCCG
rnacentral:rRNA from 1 species